CCGAGUCCUACCUCCAGCCAAGUGGCCCUGCCUCCGUUUGGGCAAGCGCCGAGGUCUCCAGCGAUUAUUAUUUCACUAGGGAUAAAAGGUUUUGGACCUUAUAGAAAUUAUAUCAUCUCCAGCUUGGAAGCAGUGAAGCAAAUAUGGCAAACACACUAGCUGUCUGUGCACGUUGGAAUGGCCUCCAAAUCCAAAGCAAUCACCCUGGAGCAAUGUGGAAGGAACAAAGGCUACAUGGAAAAGGACCUCGGCAGCGCUCACCCACACGGCGGCUG